AGCACGUGAUAUUAUUUUUCAAGCAAGGAAUUAAACAACAGGCAUCGCUUUAUUGAGAAUAGCAUGGGCGAUGGUAAAAAAACUCCAACUAGUGGCGCGUCACCGUAAAUUGGUUUGUUAUUAACACAUACUAAUGGUAAGUUGAUCUAACAACAACCAUUAAUAUGGGAUGACUCACCCGUUACACAAGAAAUAUAGACGAAGACACUACGUCCUUCUUUUUUGGAGCGCACCCUUAAUUAUUAAUUAGUACUAGGUCUCUCGGCUUACAGCGUUGUAAUAAGACCCUUUUGAUUGGUAGUACAUGGGGAUAGCUUCCUUCCUGGAGGAAGUUAUUCGGCGAGAGCCACGACCUAAUUGGACAGGGAAUUAAGGGCCCGACCGGCACAGAUGAAUCUUUUCACAGCCGCGGGGGUCGGCCACGUAUGGGUAACCAGGUCUGCCCGAGCAACGACUGAGCUCGCACCAGGUUCUCUUUGCGUCGAGCACCACCUUGCUGGCCGAUGACUGCCCCUCUGCCUGCAGCGCCAGUACCACGCUCCGGUGCGCCUCCGAGUCCAUCUCGGGCGGCUCCAGAUCCUCCACCCUG
rnacentral:lncRNA from 1 species